rnacentral:misc_RNA from 1 species
GAGCCCAAGGUAUAUAUUCAUGGAUAUACAAGAAUCAAGGAUAUUAUGCAAAUAAAUUGGCCAGGAUGCUCUUGAAUAAUUUGAUAAGAGGUAAUGAGGAAGAGAACCUUUCAAAUGAAUGAGACCCAUGCUUAGUGAAGCUGCAAAGUUAGCAAGAACACUAACAGAUCCCUUCCCUCGUUAAGUUAAUGCAGUACUUGUUUGUGAGUGAGGUGCUUCAUCCAACUGCUGCAUUGCUUGGAAUAGUAUAAUAUGUGGAUUUUUUUU